CUGUGCUGUUUCAAAACCCUGGCCCAAGUCUGAUCUGGGGACAGGGUGCCAGGAGGCUCUGGGGGCAACAGGGCAGCCCUUCUUCCAGAGCAGGGGCUGCUUAUGAAAGAUCACAUCUGAUUCCUAAAGUGCUGGUAUAAAAUCCAGCAGAGAAAGAGGUCACCCCCACCCCACCCCGGCACAGACAUCAGCAGCACAUGAAAGGAGACACACAGAGGAAGGACUCACACCCAAAGAAAUGCAACUCUUCACCAGAAACCAAAGACAGGAAAAUUACACCAGGAGGCCAUUUGGAGCCUGUCGAGUCAACCAAGGGAUGCUUCCAACUGGACAUGCUGCCCGGCUGUGGCCAUGCCACCAUGUCCUCACCAGUGGAAUGGGGACGGAAGUGAUCCACGCAACUUCAGCUGUUUAAGGGCUCAUUUGCCUGGGGUUUCUCUUUUUCCUUCCUUCAAACAGGGCCUGGAAGAGUGGCCCAAGGAGUGGUGGAACAUCCUAUCCUGCCAGCCACGGUCUCUUUGUCACAGCAUUUGGCCUGAAGGCACCCUCCCCCACCAGGCAAAAGACUGCAGAAGAUAAGAAGAAUGCACUAAGAAUCUGGUCCACUCCUGUCUGAUGGCAAACUGGCCACUGUCUCUCUGCAGGGCAGUGAGGCGAUUUGCAGAAAGUCUGAAACUUUGCUCUACUUUUAACCCAGUGAUUCCACUCUAGGCUAUGUCCUAAGGGACUCAUUCUCAAAACAAAUUAAAAAAAUUUAUACUCACAGCAUUUUGUCACAGUGUUUCUUUUUUUUUUUCCUUAAGGCUACACCUGCAGCAUAUGGAAGUUCCCAGGCAAGGGGUCGAAUCAGAGCUACAGCUAUCAGCUUAAGCCACAGCCACAGCUACACCAGAUCCUGGC
rnacentral:lncRNA from 1 species